CUUUGUAUGAUGAUUGGCUAAAUGUUCAACUGCUCUGAGUCAUGAGUGACAACUGCCUUACUGAACAAGC